AGACCCGAAACCCGGUGAUCUAGCCAUGGGCAGGUUGAAGGUUGGGUAACACUAACUGGAGGACCGAACCGACUAAUGUUGAAAAAUUAGCGGAUGACCUGUGGCUGGGGGUGAAAGGCCAAUCAAACCGGGAGAUAGCUGGUUCUCCCCGAAAGCUAUUUAGGUAGCGCCUCGUGAAUUCAUCUCCGGGGGUAGAGCACUGUUUCGGCUAGGGGGCCAUCCCGGCUUACCAACCCGAUGCAAACUGCGAAUACCGGAGAAUGUUAUCACGGGAGACACACGGCGGGUGCUAACGUCCGUCGUGAAGAGGGAAACAACCCAGACCGCCAGCUAAGGUCCCAAAGUCAUGGUUAAGUGGGAAACGAUGUGGGAAGGCCCAGACAGCCAGGAUGUUGGCUUAGAAGCAGCCAUCAUUUAAAGAAAGCGUAAUAGCUCACUGGUCGAGUCGGCCUGCGCGGAAGAUGUAACGGGGCUAAACCAUGCACCGAAGCUGCGGCAGCGACACUGUGUGUUGUUGGGUAGGGGAGCGUUCUGUAAGCCUGUGAAGGUGUGUCGUGAGGCAUGCUGGAGGUAUCAGAAGUGCGAAUGCUGACAUAAGUAACGAUAAAGCGGGUGAAAAGCCCGCUCGCCGGAAGACCAAGGGUUCCUGUCCAACGUUAAUCGGGGCAGGGUGAGUCGACCCCUAAGGCGAGGCCGAAAGGCGUAGUCGAUGGGAAACGGGUUAAUAUUCCCGUACUUGGUGUUACUGCGAAGGGGGGACGGAGAAGGCUAUGUUGGCCGGGCGACGGUUGUCCCGGUUUAAGCGUGUAGGUGUGUGUUCCAGGUAAAUCCGGUUCACUUUAACACUGAGGCGUGACGACGAGGCACUACGGUGCUGAAGCAACAAAUGCCCUGCUUCCAGGAAAAGCCUCUAAGCAUCAGGUAACAUCAAAUCGUACCCCAAACCGACACAGGUGGUCAGGUAGAGAAUACCAAGGCGCUUGAGAGAACUCGGGUGAAGGAACUAGGCAAAAUGGUGCCG
rnacentral:rRNA from 1 species